AAGAAGAAAAAAAAAGGGGUGAAACCCUAGUCCUCAAGAAAGCUUCAAAUUGAUAAGGAAAUUAGGCUCAAAUCCAAUGCAUGAACUUGAUUCCUUGGCCAUCUAGCCCUAACAAACUUACGAAUAGGAACCACACUAACACGGACCAAGUAUGGAAAGCUAACGGGUCAAGCGGAAGCGAGGGAGCAAGUAUGGACACUAACGCUUAAGGUAGUAUGAAUCACAGACUUUCUUCACAAGGAGUAGCGAUCAAGGACCGAGUCACAAGUCAGAUUGUACGGGAAUACUUGAUUAUGUAAAUUGAUAGUUAUAGCUUAUGUUUCUGUUAUGUAAAUGAGUACAAAAGCUAGUCUUGAUGUAAGAAAGUAUUUUAUAAUGAACUUGCAAGUAGGUCAAAAACGUGUUCAUUGAAAGAA